rnacentral:rRNA from 2 species
UAGAGUUUGAUUAUGGCUCAGAUUGAACGCUGGCAGCAGGCCUAACACAUGCAAGUCGAACGGUAACAUUUCUAGCUUGCUAGAAGAUGACGAGUGGCGGACGGGUGAGUAAUGCUUGGGAACUUGCCUUUGCGAGGGGGAUAACAGUUGGAAACGACUGCUAAUACCGCAUAAUGUCUUCGGACCAAACGGGGCUUAGGCUCCGGCGCAAAGAGAGGCCCAAGUGAGAUUAGCUAGUUGGUAAGGUAACGGCUUACCAAGGCGACGAUCUCUAGCUGUUCUGAGAGGAAGAUCAGCCACACUGGGACUGAGACACGGCCCAGACUCCUACGGGAGGCAGCAGUGGGGAAUAUUGCACAAUGGGGGAAACCCUGAUGCANCCAUGCCGCGUGUGUGAAGAAGGCCUUCGGGUUGUAAAGCACUUUCAGUUGUGAGGAAAAGUUAGUAGUUAAUACCUGCUAGCCGUGACGUUAACAACAGAAGAAGCACCGGCUAACUCCGUGCCAGCAGCCG